GUCUGUUCGCAGGUACUAUUGUACCGCUCUGCAUCACUGCUCCAGUUCCAGUUUACAAUCGAUCGCACGUAGAACACGGUGUGCUGUGAGUUACUGCUGCUCUUUUGCUUGUAAAUGGUAUGAGAGAAUGGUCUGCCGGAUAUUUGAACGGAAGUCCCGCUGAUCGGAGCAGGGGUGACCAAAAAGCGACCAGGCUAGCCAUCCAUGGUGAAUGGAAACUCCUUUUAAGAGUAUGGUGUGGGUUUUCUUGCAGUGGAUUUCACUGGUGUGUGUGUGCUUUGAAAGUUUAGGGGACGGUGUACUUAUUGUUUGCUGAUUCGAAGUCCACUGCUCAGCCUGCCCAGCUAAUGGCGCACCCCAGCUCCGUGACGAGAGCCUGCAUUUGUGUCCUUAUUGGACUUAGUUGCUCAUAUACAAGUCAGCUCAAAUAUAAAUCAGUGGCCUUGUCUUCCAUAUCAACAGUUUAAAAUACCACUAGGGUCAUUAAACAAUUUCAGUCAGGACCACUUGAGUCAAAAAAUACCAAAAAAAGCAAUUAUUUUCCAAAAUAUUUAUUUGCAUGAUUGUUAAAGUUACAUUUGGCGGUAUGGCCCUGUUCUGAAUUACCAUCCUUUUCAUGAGCUCCAUGAAAGCUAGUCAGGUAACAGCAGCAGCUUCUGGGGACAAUUUCCCAUUUAACUGGGAAAGCAGCAAACAAUCCCCCUUUGAGAACAGAGCAUGCAUCAGUGAAAACAGAUUGACACCGAUUAAGUUAGACGAAGUUGAAGGAGGAGCUAGGGGAGGAGGUGGGUUGCAAGCAUGCAGUGGAAGCA